rnacentral:rRNA from 1 species
GAUGAACGCUGGCGGCGUGCCUAAUACAUGCAAGUAGAACGCUGAAGGAAGGAGCUUGCUCUUUCCGGAUGAGUUGCGAACGGGUGAGUAACGCGUAGGUAACCUGCCUGGUAGCGGGGGAUAACUAUUGGAAACGAUAGCUAAUACCGCAUAACAGUAGAUGUUGCAUGAUAUCUACUUAAAAGGUGCAAUUGCACCACUACCAGAUGGACCUGCGUUGUAUUAGCUAGUUGGUGAGGUAACGGCUCACCAAGGCGACGAUACAUAGCCGACCUGAGAGGGUGAUCGGCCACACUGGGACUGAGACACGGCCCAGACUCCUACGGGAGGCAGCAGUAGGGGAUCUUCGGCAAUGGACGGAAGUCUGACCGAGCAACGCCGCGUGAGUGAAGAAGGUUGUCGGAUCGUAAAGCUCUGUUGUAAGAGAAGAACGAGUGUGAGAGUGGAAAGUUCACACUGUGACGGUAUCUUACCAGAAAGGGACGGCUAACUACGUG